rnacentral:rRNA from 1 species
AGAGUUUGAUCCUGGCUCAGGGCUAACGCUGGCGGCGUGUCUUAGCCAUGCAAGUCGAGCGGACUUAUGGGGUAACUUAUAAGUCAGCGGCGGACGGCGGAGUAACACGUAGCUAACCUACCCUCUGGACGGGGAUAACCUACCGAAAGGUGGGCUAAUACCCGAUGUAGUCAUCCUGUAUAGGGGUGAUGAAAGGUGGGCUUCUGUUUACAAGCUCAUGCUGGAGGAGGGGGCUGCGGCCUAUCAGGUAGUUGGUAGGGUAAUAGCCUACCAAGCCGAUGACGGGUAGCCGGCCUGAGAGGGUGACCGGCCCGAGGGGCACUGAGAUACGGGUCCCACUCCUACGGGAGGCAGCAGGCUAGAAAUUUGGGCAAUGGGGGAAACCCUGACCCAGUGACGCCGCGUGCAGGAAGGAGCCCUUCGGGGUGUAAACUGCUGUCGUGUAGGGAGAAGGGUACUAAGGUGAACAAUCUUAGUACUUGACGGUACUACAGGAGGAAGCCCAGGCUAACCUCGUGCCAGCAGCCGCGGUAAUACGGGGUGGGCGAGCGUUGCCCGGAAUUACUGGGUUUAAAGGGGGUGUAGGCGGUCUGGAUAGUCGGGUGUGUAAUGCAAUCGCUCAACGAUUGAGCUGCAUCUGAUACUUCCAGGCUAGAGGGCGGUAGAGGAGAGCGGAACUCCCGGUGUAGCGGUGAAAUGCGUAGAUAUCGGGAGGAACGCCGGUGGCGAAGGCGGCUCUCUGGGCCGUUCCUGACGCUGAGGCCCGAAAGCUGGGGGAGCGAAAGGGAUUAGAUACCCCUGUAGUCCCAGCCGUAAACGAUGGGCACUAGGUGUACCUUUUAACGGAGGUAUACCGUCGGGAAACCAAUAAGUGCCCCACCUGGGGAGUACGCCCGCAGGGUGAAACUCAAUGAAUUGACGG